GAGUUACGAUUUGUUGCAAGGUUAAGCGGAAAAAGCGGAGCCGUAGCGAAAGCGAGUCUGAAUAGGGCGCAUAAGUAACAGGUCGUAGACCCGAAACCAGGUGAUCUACCCAUGUCCAGGAUGAAGGUAAGGUAAUACUUACUGGAGGUCCGAACCCACGCACGUUGAAAAGUGCGGGGAUGAGGUGUGGGUAGCGGAGAAAUUCCAAUCGAACUUGGAGAUAGCUGGUUCUCUCCGAAAUAGCUUUAGGGCUAGCCUCGAGGUAAAGAGUCAUGGAGGUAGAGCACUGUUUGGACUAGGGGCCCUUCUCGGGUUACCGAAUUCAGAUAAACUCCGAAUGCCAUGUACUUAUACUCGGGAGUCAGACUGCGAGUGAUAAGAUCCGUAGUCGAAAGGGAAACAGCCCAGACCACCAGUUAAGGUCCCCAAAUAUAUGUUAAGUGGAAAAGGAUGUGGGGUUGCUUAGACAACCAGGAUGUUGGCUUAGAAGCAGCCACCAUUGAAAGAGUGCGUAAUAGCUCACUGGUCGAGUGACCCCGCGCCGAAAAUGUACCGGGGCUAAACAUAUUACCGAAACUGUGGAUGAACCUCUUUAGAGGUUCGUGGUAGGAGAGCGUUCUAAGGGCGGUGAAGUCAGACCGGAAGGACUGGUGGAGCGCUUAGAAGUGAGAAUGCCGGUAUGAGUAGCGAAAGAAGGGUGAGAAUCCCUUCCACCGAAUAUCUAAGGUUUCCUGAGGAAGGCUCGUCCGCUCAGGGUUAGUCGGGACCUAAGCCGAGGCCGAUAGGCGUAGGCGAUGGACAACAGGUAGAGAUUCCUGUACCAGUGCUAAUUGUUUAACCGAUGGGGUGACACAGAAGGAUAGGGAAUCGCACGAAUGGAAAUGUGCGUCCAAGCAGUGAGUGUGAGAAGUAGGCAAAUCCGCUUCUCGCGAAGCAUGAGCUGUGAUGGGGAAGGAAAUUAAGUACGGAAGUUCCUGAUUUCACGCUGUCAAGAAAAGCCUCUAGGAAGAGUAGUACUGCCCGUACCGCAAACCGACACAGGUAGAUGAGGAGAGAAUCCUAAGGUGAGCGAGAGAACUCUCGUUAAGGAACUCGGCAAAAUGACCCCGUAACUUCGGGAGAAGGGGUGCUCUAUUAGGGUGCAAGCCCGAGAGAGCCGCAGUGAAUAGGCCCAGGCGACUGUUUAGCAAAAACACAGGUCUCUGCAAAACCGUAAGGUGACGUAUAGGGGCUGACGCCUGCCCGGUGCUGGAAGGUUAAGAGGAGUGCUUAGCUUCGGCGAAGGUACGAAUUGAAGCCCCAGUAAACGGCGGCCGUAACUAUAACGGUCCUAAGGUAGCGAAAUUCCUUGUCGGGUAAGUUCCGACCCGCACGAAAGGCGCAACGAUCUGGGCACUGUCUCAACGAGAGACUCGGUGAAAUUAUAGUACCUGUGAAGAUGCAGGUUACCCGCGACAGGACGGAAAGACCCCGUGGAGCUUUACUGCAACCUGAUAUGGAAUGUUUGUACCGCUUGUACAGGAUAGGUAGGAGCCGAAGAGACGUGUGCGCUAGCAUACGAGGAGGCAAUGGUGGGAUACUACCCUGGCUGUAUGACCAUUCUAACCCGCCACGCUUAGCGCGUGGGGAGACAGUGUCAGGUGGGCAGUUUGACUGGGGCGGUCGCCUCCUAAAGAGUAACGGAGGCGCCCAAAGGUUCCCUCAGAAUGGAUGGAAAUCAUUCGCAGAGUGUAAAGGCACAAGGGAGCUUGACUGCGAGACUGACAAGUCGAGCAGGGACGAAAGUCGGGCUUAGUGAUCCGGUGGUUCCGCAUGGAAGGGCCAUCGCUCAACGGAUAAAAGCUACCCCGGGGAUAACAGGCUUAUCUCCCCCAAGAGUCCACAUCGACGGGGAGGUUUGGCACCUCGAUGUCGGCUCGUCGCAUCCUGGGGCUGUAGUCGGUCCCAAGGGUUGGGCUGUUCGCCCAUUAAAGCGGCACGCGAGCUGGGUUCAGAACGUCGUGAGACAGUUCGGUCCCUAUCCGUCGCGGGCGCAGGAAAUUUGAGAGGAGCUGUCCUUAGUACGAGAGGACCGGGAUGGACACACCGCUGGUGUACCAGUUGUUCCGCCAGGAGCAUCGCUGGGUAGCUAUGUGUGGCAGGGAUAAACGCUGAAAGCAUCUAAGCGUGAAGCCCCCCUCAAGAUGAGAUUUCCCAUUUCUUCGGAAAGUAAGAUCCCUGAAAGAUGAUCAGGUAGAUAGGUUUGGAGUGGAAG
rnacentral:rRNA from 1 species